ACCGACUCCAAGAGUGUGUGAGAGAGAUGCUGCAGUUAAAAAGUCCGUAGUCGUAGAGGUAGAAAGAAUAAGGAUAGAAGAUAGGAAUAGAGGAGCCGAUGGGGAUGACAGUAUAGCAGGGCGAGAGAUGAAAUGCCAAGACCCCUGGUGGACUAAGCGAGGCGAAAGCGGUGAUCUAGUAGGAGUUUGAUGAUCAAGGACGAAGGCCGGAGGAUCGAAAGUGAUUAGAUACCGCAGUAGUUCCGGCAGUAAAAGAUGCCGACAAUUUGACGGGGAGUAGAGCCGUUGAAAGGGAGAAAUUGUAGAGUUCGGGCUCUGGGGAUAGUAUGCUSGCAAGAGKAAAAUUAAAGAAAUUGACGGAGCUACACCACAAGGA
rnacentral:rRNA from 1 species